UACGGAGGGUGCAAGCGUUAUCCGGAUUCACUGGGUUUAAAGGGUGUGUAGGCGGGCUAUUAAGUCAGUGGUGAAAUCUCCGGGCUCAACCCGGAAACUGCCAUUGAUACUAUUAGUCUUGAAUUCUGUUGAGGUAGGCGGAAUAUAUCAUGUAGCGGUGAAAUGCUUAGAUAUGAUAUAGAACACCGAUUGCGAAGGCAGCUUACUAAACAGAUAUUGACGCUGAGGCACGAAAGCGUGGGGAUCAAACAGG
rnacentral:rRNA from 1 species